ACGUACGCUGGCGGCACGCCUAACACAUGCAAGUCGAGCGGGGUAGCAAUACCUAGCGGCAGACGGGUGCGUAACAUGUGGGAAUCUGCCUUUUGGUUCGGAACAACAUGGGGAAACCUGUGCUAAUACCGGAUAAGUCCUAACGGAGAAAGUUUUAAUGCCAAAAGAUGAGCCUGCACUUGAUUAGUUUGUUGGUGGGGUAAUGGCCUACCAAGACUGUGAUCAAUAGCUGAUUUGAGAGGAUGAUCAGCCACAUUGGGACUGAGACACGGCCCAAACUCCUACGGGAGGCAGCAGUGGGGAAUCUUGC
rnacentral:rRNA from 1 species